rnacentral:rRNA from 1 species
UACAGAGGGUGCGAGCGUUGUCCGGAAUCACUGGGCGUAAAGGGCGCGUAGGUGGUGGCUUAAGCGUGCGGUGAAAGCUCGGGGCUCAACUCCGAGUCGGCCGUGCGAACUGGGCUCACUGGAGCAUAGUAGAGGAAGGUGGAAUUCCACGUGUAGCGGUGAAAUGCGUAGAGAUGUGGAGGAACACCGAUGGCGAAGGCAGCCUUCUGGGCCAACACUGGACGCUCAUGCACGAAAGCGUGGGGAGCAAACAGG